rnacentral:ncRNA from 8 species
ACCAUCCUUUUCUUGGGGUUGCGCUACUGUCCGAUGAACGCUUAGUGAGGACAGUACUGCUAACACCUAUGCAACACGCCCGCACCGGCUAAAGCGCAGCUUUAUCACGGUGCAAUUUUUGGAAAA